GGUGUUCUAACCUGCGAACUGAUAAUGGUUUAAAAACAGGGAAGAAAAUGUGACACCACGAUAAACAGUAUAUUGGUGUCAAGCAACUACUGAGCAUUAAAGUAUUGUCAAGUCAAGAGUCACGUGGUCAUCAUGUUACAUACUGCUAUUCAGUAUUUACUACUCAUCGUCUUUAUUCCUGUUAUCCACAGAAGACAACAGUACCAGGAUUAACCAAAACGUCUUCAUAUUAGAUUAUGUUCUCAUAUUUAAUUAAUCAUCUCUUUAAAAUGGCAUUGAAACAUUCUGGAGUCAUUCUAACCGUACAUUGUGUUAAGAAACAAUCAUUUUUGUUUCAUCGCAGAUAGAACACACCCUUUUGUCAAGGUGAGCUUACAUCCAUCAGACAUUUAGAAGACGCCCGAGGUUCUGAGGCUUCCUCAGUGUGAUUGUUUCAUGCAGCACCCGUCCAAAUGAUGGAAAAUGAAUUGAACCAACUAAGCCAAAAAUAAACGUGCUUUCUGAUGUCUCCAGCCUGUCAGAACUGUAUUCUGUGCGACUGAAGAGGGAACUGGAUGAAGAAAAGUGAAAACAAGAUUUUGUGGAUGGAGUUCAGUUCAGUUCACAUCCUCCGGGGUGUCCUGGCUCGGCUCUCCAACAGAGCCAUGUCUUUUUCACCAGUUUGCUAAUCCUGUCUGCAUCCCUGCCCUUGAUGUUUCCACCCCGGCACUCUACCACGGAGAACAGAGCGCUGGCCAACACCGGCUGGUGGAACAUGUUGAGCCUCGUGGAGAAGAGCUGACGUGGAGGAAUGCACCGGGAGUGAGCGACCUGAACUGUAUUUAAUUCAAGCCAUAAUGUGUUAUGCAAAUGUUAUUUACUGGCACAUCAUCAGAUCUUUUAUGUAUUUUAUUUUUUUUUUUCUCCACACAAGUGAUCUGAUUGAAGUGGAGAUAAAUGAGAUCCCGGUUUUAUUUGAAGUUCAAACUGCCCUCGGCGGGGAAAAGAUCAGACUGGCUUUGGCUCCACCAGAAAACUCUGUUACGCUGCUUGUGCCUUGUUCAUAUCGCAAACCCUCCUAACUCAACCCACAGCACGCUUUUAUUGCCCCAGACUCAAGAGGCCAAACCCGGCUUUAAUAGAGAACAUGAGCUGAAAUGACUUUAUGAACCCAAUAAAAUAAGGUUAGCAUUUUCCCGCAGACAUUAUGGGAGUUUAUUUAACAUUCAGCUAAAAUUAUAUUAUCAACACAGUUACAAGGUAUUUAUAGCUCACCGCUGACUCCAUUUGCUUGAGUUGUUACCCUCUAAAUGCUGCUGCGCUGUGCGUUGAUAACGGGACACAGAGAAGCAUAAAAAAGCACAUUCAUAAUAAGCUUACUCUCCCGUAAGAGCAACAUGGAUCUCUGUGACGCACGCCUCAAAAAAAAGUAGAAACGUUAGCAUCGUUGUCAACAUUCUCUGCACACACAGGCUCUCUCUUGUUCGCUGUUUUGCAUUGUGCACAUUGCUGGAAAAGUUGAAAGCCUUGGAUGACCUCCUGCGUGAAAGGCAGAUCGUUGCCGAGGCUCGGCUAGCGCUCUGUGCAAGGAGCGCAGGAUGUUUAGAGGGUAAUUGUUCGCUGCUGUACCGUAAGCAAGCGCAGCAUUUUAAAAGCAGAGCAGUGAAUAAUGUAAAGGCUCUGCGACCCAAAAGUAAUGCCUCUUAAUCUGCUGUACUUUCCCGUUUGGUAAAUGUAGCAUUUAUCUCGGCAUGAGUAGCUCAGUUAGAUAUUGGAUUACCUUAAAAAUGCUCCACCAGAAUUAAGGCUUGAUUACUUUUGGUGUUUGGCCCUCU